rnacentral:rRNA from 1 species
GACAGAGGUGCCGAGCGUUAGGCGGAAUCACUGGGCUUAAAGCGUGUGUAGGCGGAUCGUUAAGUACCUUGUGAAAUCCCACGGCUCAACCGUGGAACUGCUGGGUAUACUGGCGGUCUUGAGCCACCUAGGGGCGAGCGAACAAGCGGUGGAGCGGUGAAAUGCGUAGAUAUCGCUUGGAACGCCAACGGUGAAAACAGCUCGCUGGGGGUGUGCUGACGCUGAGACACGAAAGCCAGGGGAGCGAACGGG